rnacentral:rRNA from 1 species
UAAUGGUGGAGAGGUUAUACCCGUUCCCAUUCCGAACACGGAAGUCAAGCUCUCUAACGCCGAUGGUACUGCCCGUCAGGGCGGGAGAGUAGGAAACCGCCAGGC